UACGUAGGGGGCAAGCGUUAUCCGGAUUUACUGGGUGUAAAGGGAGCGUAGACGGCAUGGCAAGUCUGAUGUGAAAACCCGGGGCCCAACCCCGGGAGUGCAUUUGAAACUGCCAUGCUGGAGUGCCGGAGAGGUAAGCGGAAUUCCUAGUGUAGCGGUGAAAUGCGUAGAUAUUAGGAGGAACACCAGUGGCGAAGGCGGCCUGCUGGACGGUGACUGACGCUGAGGCUCGAAAGCGUGGGGAGCAAACAGG
rnacentral:rRNA from 1 species